rnacentral:rRNA from 1 species
CCUACGGGAGGCAGCAGUGGGGAAUAUUGGGCAAUGGGCGCAAGCCUGACCCAGCAACGCCGCGUGAAGGAAGAAGGCUUUCGGGUUGUAAACUUCUUUUCUCAGGGACGAAGCAAGUGACGGUACCUGAGGAAUAAGCCACGGCUAACUACGUGCCAGCAGCCACGGUAAUACGUAGGUGGCAAGCGUUAUCCGGAUUUACUGGGUGUAAAGGGCGUGUAGGCGGGAAAGCAAGUCAGAUGUGAAAACCAUGGGCUCAACCUGUGGCCUGCAUUUGAAACUGUUUUUCUUGAGUACUGGAGAGGCAGACGGAAUUCCUAGUGUAGCGGUGAAAUGCGUAGAGAUUAGGAGGAACACCAGUGGCGAAGGCGGUCUGCUGGACAGCAACUGACGCUGAGGCGCGAAAGCGUGGGGAGCAAACAGGAUUAGAUACCCGUGUAGUC